rnacentral:rRNA from 1 species
UACGUAGGGUGCGAGCGUUGUCCGGAAUUAUUGGGCGUAAAGAGCUCGUAGGCGGUCUGUCGCGUCGAUCGUGAAAACUUGGGGCUUAACCCUGAGCUUGCGGUCGAUACGGGCAUGACUGGAGUUCGGCAGGGGAGACUGGAAUUCCUGGUGUAGCGGUGAAAUGCGCAGAUAUCAGGAGGAACACCGGUGGCGAAGGCAGCUCGCUGGGACGGUACUGACGCUGAGACGCGAAAGCGUGGGGAGCAAACAGG